UACGUAGGGGGCAAGCGUUGUCCGGAUUUAUUGGGCGUAAAGAGCGUGUAGGCGGCCAGGUAGGUCCGUUGUGAAAACUCGAGGCUCAACCUCGAGACGCCGAUGGAAACCAUCUGGCUAGAGUCCGGAAGAGGAGAGUGGAAUUCCCGGUGUAGCGGUGAAAUGGCGCAGAUAUCGGGAAGAACACCCGUGGCUAAGGCGGCUCUCUAGUACGGUACUGACGCUGAGACGCGAAAGCGUGGGGAGCGAACAGG
rnacentral:rRNA from 1 species